UACGAAGGGGGCUAGCGUUGUUCGGGAUUACUGGGCGUAAAGCGCGCGCAGGCGGUCCUUUAAGUCGGGGGUGAAAGCCCAGAGCUCAACUCUGGAACUGCCUUCGAAACUAGAGGACUUGGGUACGGGAGAGGUGAGUGGAAUUCCGAGUGUAGAGGUGAAAUUCGUAGAUAUUCGCAAGAACACCAGUGGCGAAGGCGGCUCACUGGCCCGAUACUGACGCUGAGGUGCGAAAGCGUGGGGAGCAAACAGG
rnacentral:rRNA from 1 species